CUGACAACUUACUCCCUGGUCAGUGGCUCUCCAUGCCUACCUGUGGUUUCUUGGACACCCUUGCAGAAGAUGACUUCCUGGGAACUCUUCUGAGAGUGAAUGUUAUCAGCAAAUUCCCAAAACAACACCCCUUAGACAAAAAGCCUCCUCACCUAUGCAUUGCCUAGGCCACCCACUAAAGGUGAUGGCCACAAAGAGGUGGAUUUGUUGAGUUGGUGCCAUUCCUUCUA
ensembl:lncRNA